rnacentral:tRNA from 1 species
AGGAGCGUGGCGCAGUGGAAGCGUGCUGGGCCCAUAACCCAGAGGUCGUUGGAUCGAAGCCACUCCCUGCUU